AUUGAACGCUGGCGGCAGGCCUAACACAUGCAAGUCGGACGGUAGCACAGAGAGCUUGCUCUCGGGUGACGAGUGGCGGACGGGUGAGUAAUGUCUGGGAAACUGCCCGAUGGAGGGGGAUAGCUACUGGAAACGGUAGCUAAUACCGCAUAACGUCUUCGGACCAAAGUGGGGGACCUUCGGGCCUCACACCAUCGGAUGUGCCCAGAUGGGAUUAGCUAGUAGGUGGGGUAAUGGCUCACCUAGGCGACGAUCCCUAGCUGGUCUGAGAGGAUGACCAGCCACACUGGAACUGAGACACGGUCCAGACUCCUACGGGAGGCAGCAGUGGGGAAUAUUGCACAAUGGGCGAAAGCCUGAUGCAGCCAUGCCGCGUGUAUGAAGAAGGCCUUCGGGUUGUAAAGUACUUUCAGCGGGGAGGAAGGCGAUGAGGUUAAUAACCGCAUCGAUUGACGUUACCCGCAGAAGAAGCACCGGCUAACUCCGUGCCAGCAGCCGCCGUAA
rnacentral:rRNA from 1 species